AUUUAUAUAGUUUAAAAAAAACAUGUUACUUUCACUAACAAAAUAUAAUACUAUUAUAAAUU
rnacentral:tRNA from 1 species